GAUGAACGCUGGCGGCGUGCCUAAUACAUGCAAGUCGAGCGAACGGACGAGAAGCUUGCUUUUCUGAUGUUAGCGGCGGACGGGUGAGUAACACGUGGAUAACCUACCUAUAAGACUGGGAUAACUUCGGGAAACCGGAGCUAAUACCGGAUAAUAUUUUGAACCGCAUGGUUCAAAAGUGAAAGACGGUCUUGCUGUCACUUAUAGAUGGAUCCGCGCUGCAUUAGCUAGUUGGUAAGGUAACGGCUUACCAAGGCAACGAUGCAUAGCCGGCCUGAGAGGGUGAUCGGCCACACUGGAACUGAGACACGGUCCAGACUCCUACGGGAGGCAGCAGUAGGGAAUCUUCCGCAAUGGGCGAAAGCCUGACGGAGCAACGCCGCGUGAGUGAUGAAGGUCUUCGGAUCGUAAAACUCUGUUAUUAGGGAAGAACAUAUGUGUAAGUAACUGUGCACAUCUUGACGGUACCCAAUCAGAAAGCCACGGCUAACUACGUG
rnacentral:rRNA from 1 species